GGGACUCUCUUGGACACUGCUUAGCAAAGUGAUACACACAGAAGGAGCAUCCUCAAGACAAAUGAGGAAAACAUUCCCAGAAUGUCCAGAAACCAUCCAAACAUCUAUUUAUGAGGGUUAUCUUCUGGUGCGUCAAGCCAGGUGACCUCCUGAUCCUGUCAGCUCUGUGAUUUCAGAACACACACACAUUCGUGCCCUACUGACAAUCUAUACCCUCUGGAACGACCAGUCGGUUUCAUCUCUUUCGGCAGUAAAAAGCGCUGGUUAAGAUCACAGAUUCUGGAGUUCCACAGAUCUGGUUGCAGGUUCCCGCUCAUGUUUUACAGGGCUGCUACAACCUGGAUGGCUUAAAACAAGAGAAGUGUGUUAUCUCACAGUUCUGGAG
rnacentral:lncRNA from 1 species